rnacentral:rRNA from 1 species
UACGUAGGGGGCGAGCGUUGUCCGGAUUCAUUGGGCGUAAAGCGCGCGUAGGCGGCUUCGCAAGUCGGCCGUGAAAUCUCCGGGCUCAACUCGGAGGGGUCGGGCGAGACUGCGAGGCUCGAGGUGGGCAGAGGGCAGUGGAAUUCCGGGUGUAGUGGUGGAAUGCGUAGAGAUCCGGAGGAACACCAGUGGCGAAGGCGGCUGCCUGGGCCUGGCCUGACGCUGAGGCGCGAAAGCGUGGGGAGCAAACAGG